AAAAUCAUCCGACUUGUGAGGACGGCCUUCUGAGGCUAUAGUUUUAUGCUUCUGAUUUGUUUCAGCAAUGGCUGCUAUGUCGGAUUGCGAGGAAAGGACUGUUCAAUCCAUCAUGUGAAGCAGAAAAAGGAAUACGAUGUCAACGAAGAGUCUCAGGAAUUUCUGCCAUCAACAAUUUCAGUUUAUGCCUUCUCAAGAUGAGGGCUAUUUAGGCCCUCUUUGAGCCAUAUUCUUUAAAAAAUAUACGUUCUUAAAUAGUGAUUUAACAUCAUUUUAACAAUACAUUUUUCAAUAAAAUAAUAUUACAUGUAAAUCCAAAAGUUUUCCUUAGUUUUUAACAACGUAUUUCCCAUCAACACACUAUUCAAAAAUGUAUUUUUAUGAAAAUAAUAUGGCUUAAUAUCAUCUGGUUCUUGAUAAACUGUCUAGAAGUAUGUCAGAGAAGGAAAAGAAAGAUCUAAUAAGUAACUUGCAUAGCAUGGUCCACCUUGUCACUUGGAGACGAAGUUCCCAGGGUAGUUUUAGAUGAAACUAUUGCUGUAGAUAUCUUGCUUAAACUUGGAGCUACCAGGAAAACACAUUACGAUUGUCAAAAAGAAGAGGGCUACCUUAAAAAGAUUGUAUCGACUCUUGAGAGGAAAAAGAGAGAGAGGAGUGAUUCUGGAGAUGCAGAGCAGUGGCAUCAGACUGAUAUGAAAGUGAUGAUGGUUUAUCCGUCUCUAUUCAAAACAAUUGUAAGGACUGGAUAUUAGAUUCUGGGUGUUCUUUACACUUGCCUAGACAACUGGAUGAAUGGUUCGAGACAUUUAUGUCGUAGAAUGCCUACAGAAGGAGUAAUUCAGAUAGUUGUGCUUAUUUGGAAAGGCUCACUGAUGCUUAAUUCAACCAUUUACUUCUAUAUGAUGAUGACAUGCUUAUAGCAUAUAAGGAUGGACAAUAGCAAUAACGUUUUGCAUAUUCAUGUUGAAGAAUGGCUAUCAGAGGAGCAAUUUUGAUAAUUGUGUUUGCUUUAAAAGCUGAUGCUUGUUUCAUCCAUCUGUUUCUAUAUGUUAAUCAUACGCUUAUAGCAUGUAAGAUAAACAUGCGAGGAUAAAGGAUCUGAAGUAAUGAUGAGCUCCAAGUUUGAAAUGAAGGACUUCAGGGACACCGCAAAGAUCCUUGUGUUGGAGAUUUACAGAAAAAGGAUAGCAGAUUUUCUAUAUUGGUCAUAAAAAGGAUAUGUGAAGAAAAUUUUAGAUCAGUUCAACGGCUGAAGCUAAGAGAGUUAGAACCCCUUUGGCAACACAUUUUUAAAGCAACUCAAUCACCCAGCACUGAAGAAACAGAGGUAUAUACGAUAUCAUGUUACUCUAGUACCAUAAAUUUUUGAUGCACGGUUUGCACGGGACCAGGCAUAGCACAUUCAGCAAAUUAUGUGAGUAGACAGGAAAAAGCCAUUGGCAGGCAGUUAAAUGGAGACUUCAGUAUUUGAACAAACACGAAAAGCUAGUUUAGUGUAUGGUCAAGCACAGGACAUUAAUAGAUAUAUUAUAUUAUGCAUAUUCCAAUUUUGCAGGGAAUUUAGGAGAUUUAGACAAAAGAAGAUUAUUGGCUGGAUACAAUAUUGCUCAGCUGGGAAUGUUGUAAGCUGAAAAGUUAAUCUUACAAAAGCAAUAAAAGAAGCCAUUGGGUCAGGAAAAUGCUGUGUGUACACAAUGGUAUACACACAGCAUUACACCCCCCUCACAUAGAGGGGCCUACACACAAUAAAAUAUUCAUGAGCCCCCCUCCAUGUGAGAGGGGUGUAAUGCAUUGUAUACACCAUGAGGUGUACACAUAGCAUUUUCCAUUGGGUCAAGGGACUGGUAACUGAAUUGGAAGAUCAAAAAGUAAAUGGCAGAGUCAGGCACAGCUCGAAUUUGGUAAAUGUCAUAACAUUGAACAGCCCCAUUGAUGGGGAAGUGACUAACGGACCAUCAUUUGGGAUUUGUGAUUCAAAGGUGGAGAUUUGUUAUGAAUUGGAUCAUAAUUAUAACACAGAAUAUUUGGAAAAAUUUACAGUUAAGUGGAGACGUGAAGUUAGUUAAGACAGACUAACUCAGAUUUGUUUAUGAAUAGAAGAGCGAGACCCGGGUGUAUUUACUCUCAGAGAAAAUUCUGUAUUUCAGCCUCAAGUUCAGAAUAAAAGAAUAAAUCUGAUCCUACCAUGGAUGUAGGGCAAUUUCUGAACCAUGAACAAUUCUUAUUGUGUUCUUUGCUUCUUAGCCGUCUCUUGGUUUAA